GACGAACGCUGGCGGCGUGCUUAACACAUGCAAGUCGAACGGAAAGGCCCUGCAUUUUUGUGGUGCUCGAGUGGCGAACGGGUGAGUAACACGUGCGUAACCUGCCCUUGACUUUGGGAUAACUUCAGGAAACUGGGGCUAAUACCGGACAGGAGCUCCUGCUGCAUGGUGGGGGUUGGAAAGUUUCGGCGGUUGGGGAUGGACACGCGGCUUAUCAGCUUGUGGGUGGGGUAGUGGCUUACCAAGGCUUUGACGGGUAGCCGGCCUGAGAGGGUGACCGGCCACAUUGGGACUGGGAUGCGGCCCAGACUCCUACGGGAGGCAGCAGUGGGGAAUAGUGCACGAUGGGCGGAAGCCUGAUGCAGCAACUCCGCGUGCGGGAUGACGGCCUUCGGGUUGUAAACCGCUUUCGCCUGUGACGAAGCGUGAGUGACGGUAAUGGGUAAAGAAGCACCGGCUAACUACGUG
rnacentral:rRNA from 1 species